CCCAGGUACUACCUGGGAUCAGAAACUCUUCCUUACGAUGUUUCACGAUGCUUUCUGAAAGGAGCCAAAUGUUGGAUGAAGCUGGAUUGCCUCCAGCUUUCUGAAAGCCAAUAUAAUUCCACAAAGGGGCCAGAGACUACCCAAGCACUGCUUCCUGAAAUUCAGACCAGCUCUUCCUCCUAUCGAGUACUACCUAAGAGAUCAUCUGUAGGGAAGAAAUUGGGAAGACUUUCUAAGAGAAGUAUUUACCUGGUUAGCAUUUAGGUAUUACCACCUCAAAAAAACAAACAAACAAACAAAAAAAAACAACAAAAAAAACAGCUUCUAUGCAUAUUGGCUGGCCAGGACCUGGAUAGUAGAAAAGAGUUGGCAAAGCAGUUCCCAGGAAGGAGAAUACACAGAGGUAAGGUAAGACACAUUAAUGUAUGUUCCGGAUGCCCAUGAUAUUACUCUACAAUUACUCAAAUAUAUUGCUGAGAAUUUCUCUUUGAUUCCAGGUAAGCAAAUGAGACUGUGACUCAGAUAUGUCUUUAUAAAUGAGUUAGAGGCAGCAUGAUGUAAUGAAGAUAGCAGAACAUGACAUCGGAUUCAUAUCUGAUCUCUGUCACUAAUUAGUCCUAUUUAUGUCCACAGGAGAAACUUUUCAAUCUCCCUUAGCCUCAACCUACUACUCACCUGUAAAAUAGGGAUAAUAAUAUCUCCCUCACA
rnacentral:lncRNA from 1 species